UACGGAGGGUGCAAGCGUUGUUCGGAAUCACUGGGCGUAAAGCGCGUGUAGGUGGUCUUUUAAGUCUGGUGUGAAAGCCCGGGGCUUACCCCCGGAAGGGCACUGGAGACUGGGAGACUAGAGUACCGGAGAGGAAGGUGGAAUUCCUGGUGUAGCGGUGAAAUGCGUAGAUAUCAGGAGGAACACCGGUGGCGAAGGCGGCCUUCUGGACGGCUACUGACACUGAGACGCGAAAGCGUGGGGAGCAAACAGG
rnacentral:rRNA from 1 species